GUUAUACCCAAGGUGGCUUCUUACUCUGCGGUCUACCCAAGGUGAUGAUGAUAGAGCUGAGUUUUGGUUAAGGAGAAAGAUUUUCUUAAAAGAAAAUAUAUGAUGGAAUGGAAUAGAGUUUUGUUAAAAACAUAUGAAGCUAGGAAGUUUGUGGUUGUGAUGAUAACGGAUCGGAGGUGGAUUUUGUUGUAGACUAGAAUGGAACACACGAAGAUGAAGACUCCAAAGAUCGAGCUUGCAAACAUAUACAAGCUAGAUUGUAAUCAAAAGAAAUUUAUAUUUUUUGAUGAAUUUUUUUAGUGAUGUAUAAGUACCGGUGUGUAUACAUGUUUUAUUCUGAAUGUAUUACUAAAUUUGAUAAUUCAAAUUAACUAUAUUUGGGCA